AUUGAUGGACCCUUAGAACAAGUUUUAGCACUGAUGCUGUCAUAGCAACAUUUUCGUAGGUUGUUUUUUCUUCAAACAAAAACAAUCUACAAAAAUGGAAGCUGCAACUGUUUGCAGUUAAUUACUAUUGUGAAAAAAAUACUACUUUAUAGUGAAGUUUUACCUAUUUAAAGCCAUUAGAAAACUAAAAGUGAAUCUCUAAACCCGCAUCGCAAGCCAUAUCCCUUUUACCAAUAACAGUAUGACUCUAAUUUUAUGGCCCCGGAACCGCUCAGUCCCGGAAGGGAACUGGCAUAGACCCCUAGCUACUGCUGUAGACAUGGCAGCCGUCUAGGGUGGGCGCAGAUUGCAGAAGGCCUCUUUUUGCUCAGGGUCUUUGGUGCGGGAAGGCUAUCGGAAGCGUGAAUAUAGGUGCUUGGUCGAUAAGAUGGUCGGUUAGUCGUUGGACGAUAAUGCGACGGUCGGGUGCCUUGACGGU